CUGGGGGUGGAACAUGCCGAGGUGGGGCUCAGACAAGCAGCUGAUGCUCCCCCCAGGAGUUCCCUUCGAGGGGGCCUGGGCGCCCCAGUGCUCCCAGUUCCCCCGCACCAGCUGUGCUGGGGCCCCGGUCAGUGAUGGAGUAACGGGAGCCCCACUCCGCCACCCCUCAGGGCUGAGGGCAUGCAGGCUUGGGGAAGUUGUGCAAGUCCUGCUGGGGCCCCCGGGGACGCCAGUGCAUGCACAUCAUCCCCGCGGGUUUGGGAUCCCCAGGGGCGGGCGCCCCACAGGCAGCAGCCCCCCCAUGGCUGGGUCACUGCUCCCCACCAGUAAAUCCCAGUGAACCCCGCUGUCACUCCCAGUAGCGCCAUCGGCAGGGACGGCGAUGCCGGGGGGCGUCCCUCCGUUCCCCCAAGGCUGCCGGGGGGCUCCUGCUGCGGCCUUGCAGCAUCCCAGUGCCCCGAGCUCCCUGCGCUCGGCCGGGGGUGCUGAGGGAGCCUUGGGGGGCUCCUCCCGUUUUGGGGUCUGUUUCCCCGGCAUGAGCAGCCCGCAGCGUGGGGGACACCCUGGCACCCCGGUUGGUGCCACGGUUGGUCCCAGAGGGGGCGUCCCCGCUGCCGGGGCUCUUCCCGCGGCCCUGCCGGGGGUCCCGCUGCUGUGCCGGGGGUCCCGCUGCUGUGCCGGGGGCCGUGCUGGGGUCCCCGCGGUGCCGCUGGGGGUUGUUGGGCGGUUCUCGGUGCCGGGGGCCUCGGGGGAGCGGCAGCUGCCGUGUCCCCAGCUGCCGGCCGGCGGGCGUGGUGUGGCACAGCUGUGUCCCGGUGUCACUGCCGGGACUGUGCGGGGUCCCCCCGGGGGUGCCGGGAUAAACUGGGCCAGGAGCAGAGCAAAUAUUGACGUGGCAGGAUGUGGCUGCCGAGCCCUGCCCGUGCCCAUCCACCUGCUCGCCCCCCUGCCCGAGCCCUGCCCGCGGCUCUGCCGGAACCCCCUCGGUGCGCGAUGCUCGGGGGAACCGUGCCCGGCUCGGGGCCUCUCCCCUCUCGGGGACCCCGUGCUCACGGUCCUCUCCCGAGCUCAGCGACAGCCGCAGGGCUCAGGGUCCCUCCCCAGGCUCGGGGUGCCCCUCCCGAGCUCAGAGACCCCCGCGGCUCAGUGUCCCCCUGAGCUCCGGGAUGGCCGCGGCUCGGGGUCCCCUCCAAGCCCAAGGACCCCCCCCGGCUCAGGGUCCCCCCGGGCGCUCCCAGGGGCCGGUCCCGGGGCGGGGGCGGGG
rnacentral:lncRNA from 1 species